rnacentral:rRNA from 1 species
GGGGAAUAUUGGGCAAUGGGGGAAACCCUGACCCAGCAACGCCGCGUGAGUGAAGAAGGCCUUCGGGUUGUAAAGCUCUGUCGCAGGGGACGAAGAAAGUGACGGUACCCUGUGAGGAAGCCCCGGCUAACUACGUGCCAGCAGCCGCGGUAAUACGUAGGGGGCGAGCGUUGUCCGGAAUUACUGGGCGUAAAGGGUGCGUAGGCGGCUUGUUAAGUUGGAUGUGAAAUACCCGGGCUCAACCUGGGGGGUGCAUUCGAUACUGGCAGGCUAGAGUGCAGGAGAGGGAAGCGGAAUUCCUAGUGUAGCGGUGAAAUGCGUAGAGAUCGGGAGGAACAUCAGUGGCGAAGGCGACUGCCUGGGCCAACACUGACACUGAGGCACGAAAGCGUGGGGAGCAAACA